AGCUUUCUGAAUCCGUGCAGAGAUUUUGUCAGGCACCAAUCAAUUAGUGCCGAACAGACUUCCAAGAUAAGUGAAGUU
rnacentral:pre_miRNA from 1 species